rnacentral:rRNA from 1 species
UAGGGAAUAUUGGGCAAUGGGCGAAAGCCUGACCCAGCCAUGCCGCGUGAAUGAUGAAGGCCUUAGGGUUGUAAAGUUCUUUCGCCGAUGAAGAUAAUGACGGUAGUCGGAUAAGAAGCCCCGGCUAACUUCGUGCCAGCAGCCGCGGUAAUACGAAGGGGGCUAGCGUUGUUCGGAAUUACUGGGCGUAAAGCGCAUGUAGGCGGUCAUUCAAGCCAGAGGUGAAAUCCCGGAGCUCAACUUCGGAAUUGCCUUUGGAACUGUAUGACUGGAGUCUCGGAGAGGAUGGUGGAAUUCCAAGUGUAGAGGUGAAAUUCGUAGAUAUUUGGAGGAACACCGGUGGCGAAGGCGGCCAUCUGGACGAGUACUGACGCUGAGAUGCGAAAGCGUGGGGAGCAAA